AGGGGGGGCAAGCGUUGUUCGGAAUUACUGGGCGUAAAGGGCCAGUAGGCGGCCAACUAAGUCCGACGUGAAAUCCCAAGGCUUAACCUUGGAACUGCGUCGGAUACUGGAUGGCUUGAAUUCGGGAGAGGGAUGCAGAAUUCCAGGUGUAGCGGUGAAAUGCGUAGAUAUCUGGAGGAAUACCGGUGGCGAAGGCGGCAUCCUGGACCGAGAUUGACGCUGAAUGGCGAAAGCUAGGGGAGCAAACGGGA
rnacentral:rRNA from 1 species